rnacentral:lncRNA from 11 species
UGUGCCUUCAAGCUUUUCAGAACACACUUCGGGCAUUCAGGCAAGUAAAGACUGGUACAGUAGCUGUCGGUGAAUUGAGGUCAGUCCUGACAGACUUGGAGGUCUAUAUGAGUCCUGAAGAAAUACAACAGGCACUGGACCGCAUUCAUCUUGACAAGAAUAAGAAGGUGAACCUUUCAGAAUUCCUGUUGGCUGCACGAGACCUGCAGACAAGUCUUGGAGACGAAGAUCUUGAAGAUGAAUGUUCCUUUAUGCAAAGGAAGCCUUUCCACGAUGUGGCCGGGCUUAUCAAUGUUGACACGAGAUGGAGGAAAAACUACCAAAGUUAUUUCGAUGAGGACGCAUCGAGCACUGCGUCGCUCUUUCCCUUCUUGGCACUGCCAGGUUCAGAUGAAAAUAUCACUCAACCACAGAAAAGUGAAUCUAAGAAGCUGGAGAAUGGCAUCACAGACAUGAAAAAGUCACAGUCAGACAUCCGUCGCCAAAGCAGCAAAAGUAAAAUAGAAGGGAGAAAGGAAAGCCAGGUCAUUACAGAGAGAUCAAACUCUCAGUUGGAUGUUAUUGAAGAGAAACACGAAACGGAAGAUGUCACAGAGGUGCAAAAAUCACAAUCGAAAGUGGAUCCCUCCAGCCAAGACAACUAACACCCACAAGACAUUUUUCUUUCCAGCUGAAAUAACUGCUUGUGAGGUUUUCUAACUAUAAUUUAUCCCAACUAGCUAUAGUUGCUCCCCUCUGUCUAGUACAGAUGAAUCCCUGCGUAUUUCUCAUUGCUCCCCCAGCAACAUACCACCAACCUGCACUGUUUUUUCUUAUACUGAUUAUCAGCUGGGGCAUCUUCCCCAAAUGGGAAAUACUAAGAGAUGGGGUCAUUUCUUCCAGAAGCUGAAACUGGAGUCACUGUAGAAGAGGAAAAUGAUACUGUUUUGGGGUAGAUUUUGGCUCAUUGCAAAGGACUCAUUGGCAGACUUGAUUAAAAUCCGACAGACCUGUGUGCUUACAAAAUGUUUUUGUUUAAAACUCUGCCUAUUUAUUCUCUUGCGGUUGUGGCUCUUCCAUGAAAUGCAUUGAAUUCCAACACAAAAUAAACACACAAAGCUUGGCCCAAG